AUUGAACGCUGGCGGCAGGCCUAACACAUGCAAGUCGAGCGGUAGCACAGAGAGCUUGCUCUCGGGUGACGAGCGGCGGACGGGUGAGUAAUGUCUGGGAAACUGCCUGAUGGAGGGGGAUAACUACUGGAAACGGUAGCUAAUACCGCAUAAUGUCGCAAGACCAAAGUGGGGGACCUUCGGGCCUCAUGCCAUCAGAUGUGCCCAGAUGGGAUUAGCUAGUAGGUGGGGUAAUGGCUCACCUAGGCGACGAUCCCUAGCUGGUCUGAGAGGAUGACCAGCCACACUGGAACUGAGACACGGUCCAGACUCCUACGGGAGGCAGCAGUGGGGAAUAUUGCACAAUGGGCGCAAGCCUGAUGCAGCCAUGCCGCGUGUGUGAAGAAGGCCUUCGGGUUGUAAAGCACUUUCAGCGGGGAGGAAGGCGAUAAGGUUAAUAACCUUGUCGAUUGACGUUACCCGCAGAAGAAGCACCGGCUAACUCCGUGCCAGCAGCCGCGGUAAUACGGAGGGUGCAAGCGUUAAUCGGAAUUACUGGGCGUAAAGCGCACGCAGGCGGUCUGUCAAGUCGGAUGUGAAAUCCCCGGGCUCAACCUGGGAACUGCAUUCGAAACUGGCAGGCUAGAGUCUUGUAGAGGGGGGUAGAAUUCCAGGUGUAGCGGUGAAAUGCGUAGAGAUCUGGAGGAAUACCGGUGGCGAAGGCGGCCCCCUGGACAAAGACUGACGCUCAGGUGCGAAAGCGUGGGGAGCAAACAGGAUUAGAUACCCUGGUAGUCCACGCCGUAAACGAUGUCGAUUUGGAGGUUGUGCCCUUGAGGCGUGGCUUCCGGAGCUAACGCGUUAAAUCGACCGCCUAGGGAGUACGGCCGCAAGGUUAAAACUCAAAUGAAUUGACGGGGGCCCGCACAAGCGGUGGAGCAUGUGGUUUAAUUCGAUGCAACGCGAAGAACCUUACCUGGUCUUGACAUCCACAGAACUUAGCAGAGAUGCUUUGGUGCCUUCGGGAACUGUGAGACAGGUGCUGCAUGGCUGUCGUCAGCUCGUGUUGUGAAAUGUUGGGUUAAGUCCCGCAACGAGCGCAACCCUUAUCCUUUGUUGCCAGCGGUUAGGCCGGGAACUCAAAGGAGACUGCCAGUGAUAAACUGGAGGAAGGUGGGGAUGACGUCAAGUCAUCAUGGCCCUUACGACCAGGGCUACACACGUGCUACAAUGGCAUAUACAAAGAGAAGCGACCUCGCGAGAGCAAGCGGACCUCAUAAAGUAUGUCGUAGUCCGGAUUGGAGUCUGCAACUCGACUCCAUGAAGUCGGAAUCGCUAGUAAUCGUAGAUCAGAAUGCUACGGUGAAUACGUUCCCGGGCCUUGUACACACCGCCCGUCACACCAUGGGAGUGGGUUGCAAAAGAAGUAGGUAGCUUAACCUUCGGGAGGGCGCUUACCACUUUGUGAUUCAUGACUGGGGUGA
rnacentral:rRNA from 1 species